CCUACGGGAGGCAGCAGUGAGGAAUAUUGGUCAAUGGGCGCGAGCCUGAACCAGCCAAGUAGCGUGAAGGAUGACUGCCCUACGGGUUGUAAACUUCUUUUAUAAAGGAAUAAAGUGAGGCACGUGUGCCUUUUUGUAUGUACUUUAUGAAUAAGGAUCGGCUAACUACGUGCCAGCAGCCGCGGUAAUCAGUAGGGAGCGGACGUUAUCCGGAAUUAUUGGGUGUAAAGGGUGCGUAGACGGGAAUGCAAGUUAGUUGUGAAAUCCCUCGGCUUAAAUGAGGAACUGCAACUAAAACUACAUAUCUUGAGUGCAGGAGAGGUAAGUGGAA
rnacentral:rRNA from 1 species